rnacentral:rRNA from 1 species
CCGAAUUCGUCCAUACAGAGUUUGAUCCUGGCUCAGAACGAACGCUGGCGGCAGGCUUAACACAUGCAAGUCGAACGAGAUCUUCGGAUCUAGUGGCGCACGGGUGAGUAACGCGUGGGAACCUGUCCUGUGGUUCGGGAUACCUCCGGGAAACUGGAGUUAAUACCGGGUAUCUCCUGAGGGAGAAAGAUUUAUCGCCAUAGGGUGGGCCCGCGUCCGAUUAGCUAGUUGGUGGGGUAAAGGCCUACCAAGGCGUCGAUCGGUAGCUGGUCUGAGAGGAUGAUCAGCCACACUGGGACUGAGACACGGCCCAGACUCCUACGGGAGGCAGCAGUGGGGAAUAUUGGACAAUGGGGGCAACCCUGAUCCAGCCAUGCCGCGUGAGUGAUGAAGGCCUUCGGGUUGUAAAGCUCUUUCGACGGGGACGAUGAUGACGGUACCCGUAGAAGAAGCCCCGGCUAACUUCGUGCCAGCAGCCGCGGUAAUACGAAGGGGGCGAGCGUUGUUCGGAAUUACUGGGCGUAAAGGGCGCGUAGGCGGCGCACCAAGUCAGGCGUGAAAGCCCUGGGCUUAACCCAGGAACUGCGUUUGAGACUGGUGUGCUGGAGUGCAAGAGAGGUCGGCGGAAUUCCCAGUGUAGAGGUGAAAUUCGUAGAGAUUGGGAAGAACACCGGUGGCGUAGGCGGCCGACUGGACUGUAACUGACGCUGAGGCGCGAAAGCGUGGGGAGCAAACGGAUUAGAAUCCCUGGUAGCCCACGCCGAAACGAAUGGGGCUAAGCCGUUGGGGGCCCUAAGGCCCUCCGUGGCGCAGCUAACGCAUUUACGCCCCGCCUGGGGAAGAACGGGCGCAGGGUAAAAAUCAAAGGAUUUGACGGGGGGCCCGCCCAAGGGGGGAAAAUUGGGGUUAAAUUUCAAAAAAACGGGAAAAACCUUUCCCCCCCCUUGGAUUCUCGGUU